GCAGCCCGGGUUAAAAGACGCAGCAAAUCCUGCGUGGUGCUUCCUAGGACCGGGGGUAGGCAAAAUAGAUUAUAUGGUACAACAGGGUCCGCCGAAUCAGAGAGUUCUGGCUCAAGUAGCCCCGAGGAAGAUGAAAUUGAUGAACUCAUUGCAGCCUCGAGCAAGCCCCACUACUGUUACAUUAAUAUCCUGUGGUGUUUGUCCCUCUGAGACACAACACAUGACAAACUCCCUUUGGUCAUCAGCAAACAGCCUCGUUUAUUGCCUCCAGCAGCCUUUUAUAGCCCAUUCCAAACUCCCAGGUCGAGACAGCUCCUUGGUCUAUCUCUGUGCCCCCAGACUCUGAACCAAUACAAUGUCUGCAUCUUAGGAGAGCUUGCAUUGGCUGUGAGCUUCUGUCAGUCAGCCCAGAGGCUGCUUCAUGGAGCUGAGCUGGGCUGCUUAUUAUAACAUGAUUAAUGCUAAUGCUACAUACACUGUGCACCACUAUCAACUAACACUUCAUAUUUUUGUGGCUCUGAUGUGCCAGGCCAUCGGAUCCACACUGUCUAGAAUUCCAGUUUUCCCGUGCCUCUUCCUGGUUUGAGGCAGGACCCCUCCAGCCCUGGUUAUUAUUUCUUUCCUGGGCAUACAUGGUAGAGGUACCUUCAGGGGGAUCUGACAGAUCAUACCUGGCAGCUCAGUCAUGGGAGGCUGAGGCUGCCUUCACUUUAGUGGAACUCCCUUUGUUAGUGUUUCCCUCCUUGAGUUGAUGCAGCCGUGCUGCCAGGACAGAAGUGUGUUUCCCAUCCCACCUUCCCAUGUCUUCCCCGUGGUCAUGCAGGGAGAACCACAGGUCAGCUCUUGGGGUGCACCCUCUCUGUCUAGCUGGGGGAUGCUGGUCUCUGACUUUGGGGUCUGUGACUUGCACUGGUGUGAUGUGGGAAUUGUUCCUCCUCAUCUCCUCUUUGAGUUCCUUGACCAUGGCAGGGACAUGAGCCUGCAUUGGGCCAUUGAUCACACUCUCACAAUUUCUGAGCUUGCUGGCGACAGAGCCCACUGUCUCUUGGUUGGUAUCAGCAUUGAUCGUUGCAGUGAAGGUGGUGUAUUGAGAUGGCCCUGGAUUUGCCAGACUCCACAACAUUUGCCCUGUGCACCUGACCUUGUCAGGGUCAUUAUCAUGCUGUCCAUCCCUCCCAAAGAGUACCUCCAAUACUGCCACUUCUCCCAGCUGUUGGAUCCCUUCCUGAAGGGUCUUCCAGUGCAUUCUAUGGUGGUACUCCUGCAUUCUCUGCCUGUGGACAAACCUCUCUCUGACAUUCAUUAGAAGCCGCUCCCAGAGGGAAAGGGACCCUGUCUCCCUUACAAAAAUCUGACUCACACCUGAGUCCUGGGUCAAGGGUCCCCAAUUCCUUGCCUCAUUACCAUCCAGUUGUAUGCCUGUACCCAUAAGGUCCCGGAGCCAAAGUAGCCAGGUUGUAUAAGCCUCACAUCCCCAUCGUACAAUGUCUUUGUGCAGAUUUUGGAGACUUUCGUUCGUCAGGGACUCAAUGAUGAUUGCGACCUCUGGGUCUCCUGAGGGUUGUGAGGGCCCUUCUUUACCUGGGUGCUUUGAUUUCAUCUUAGAUCUCCUUGUUUCUACAGGGGCAGCUGCUGCUGGCUGUGAGUGCCCUUGCAGUUCAGCUGGAACCAGGACACGUUGGUUCCAUUGCUGCACUGUUAGAUUCUCCCUCUUCAAGUCAAGGGGAGAGCUUCUCACCAGCUGCUCAGCCUCAUCUACCGCAGCCACCAAGGUCUUGGGGACAUCGAAUGACACGUCCAUUGUCCACUACAGGGUGGCCUUGAUGGCCCUGAGCUGGCAGUGCAGCUCCCAGGAGAACACAGUGGCUUUGUGACAUGCAGCCACCAAGUCCCCCAGGGCCUCCUCCACCUGCUGUUUCCUCUUGGUGGCUGCCAUCCCUCGGAUGGUGAACACCACAGCCUCUCUCCUGGCCAUGGUGGCCAUCUGUUGCCAUCUUAUUGCAAAGGUUUCGUAACUUCUUGGUGAUCCCUCAUGGGCAGCUCCUCACAGCACUGACUCCUUCUUCUCAGUACAGCCAACAAACUCCAUCUAACUUCUCGAGCAGCCAACCUACUCUUUUACAAUUCCUAUCCUAAUUGGAUCUAGCUGUGGCCUAUUAAGGGCAGGCCUGUUCCUAAUGCUUGAUAAUUAGCACAGCUGUAACUUCUUAGGGGUGAGAUUACCUUCAUCACUAUCUCUAUUUUCCUACAUUCCACCCAUCCACAGCCACCAGCACCUUGUUGCUGGCCGCCACCACCCAGGCCUUGAGAGCAGCCAUUGCCUCUAUUUCCAGGGCCAGUAUUGUGGAUGGGACAUGCCUUGGCUUGUCUCACCCCUGCUGCUGACCCAAAUAGCAGCAACUGUCACAGGUGUUUCACCCUGGAGAUGCUUUUGGCUAGAUGGAUGUUGCAGCUGGGCGCGUGGGGACAAGCCCAGACGUGCCAGGGCAUAGAAAAUAUGACUGGUCCUUUAAUUCUCGUGAUGUGCGUCCAACCCUUUUCUCUGGUCCACACAGCCGAAUUAGCAAUGAGGAGUACCUGAAAGGGGUCUUCAAAUUCAGGCAUUAAUGGUCUAUAAUUCCAGGAUUUUAUUAAAACCCAAUCUCCUGGGUUAAUGUUAUGUACUUUUGUGUCAAGAGGGGAGGUUUGGGGGACAUAUCCUCUUUUUCUAAGUUCUUCCAGGGUUCUUCCAAUGACUUCUAAAUAUUUUCUGGUAGCUUCUUCUCCUUCCAGAUAGUCUCCUAUGCUAUAGGGUGUUAACGAGAAUGGCAGUCCAAACAUCAUUUCAUAGGGUGAAAUCCCUAUAUCAUACCAGGGUCUUGUUCUGAUGUGCAAAAGCGCUAGGGGCAAACACUUUAGCCAAUUCAUUUUUGUUUCUUCAAUCCAUUUAGUCAAUACAUUUUUGAGAGUUUUGCUCAUCUGCUCCACCCUCCCAGAACUCUGGGGAUGCCACGGAGUAUGUAAUGUCCAUUUUAUUCUAAAGCUUCGAUUAUAUUUUGGGCCACAAAAUGUGGACCUCGGUCUGAGUCUAUGGUGCUCACCAUUCCAUAUCUGGGGGUAAUAUUCUCCAAGAUUACUCUUGCCACGACCUGGGCUGUUUCCCUUUUAGUUGGGAAGGCUUCCACCUAAUGUGCCCGGUCUCUCUGCAAUAACAGCAGCGCGUUUCUCUCAAAGGGACUUGAGGUCUCUCCAUUCCUCCUGUACUUGGUGGUGCUGGCCUAUCCUUGCCUGUGUCUGGUAGUGGACCUCCCCACUCUUUUGUUACCUUGGAUUGUGGGAUAGAGUUUCUUUCCUCCACACUUUCUCUAGCUAUAGCGACCAGGAUCCUAGCCUUGGCCUUUCUUCUUCCCUCCUAAAAUACACCUUCAAUGCUUCUCUCAAUAACUCAUUAAUGUCCUGCUCUUGCUAAUCUUCAAUCUUUUCCAGUUUUCUCUGUAUAUCAGGCCAAGAUGUAGUAACAAAUUGGACCUUUAGUAGCACUUGACCUUCUGUGGUGUCUGGGUCUGUUUUGGAGUACAACUGGAAGUUCCGCUUUAGGUGAUUAAGCCAAGCAGCAGGAGUUUCAUCCUUCUCUUGUGCACCUUCAAAUGCCAGUUAUUGUAUUAGUUCCUUUGGGAACUGAUUCUCUGAUCCCCUGAAUUAUCAAAGACCUGUAUUCUAUCACAGCCUUCCUCCCUUCCUCCUGAUUAGGGUUCCAAUUGGGAUCAGCUAGUGGCAAUUUCUGUUCACCUGAUGGCACUUGGGGUCCCGGACAGUUAUCUUUUUCCCAAAUUGUUAUGCUAGCAGCUCUAAUCAUCCGGACCUCUUCUGGGGAAAAGAAUAUAUUUAAAAUAGAAUUCAUCUCCCCCCAAGUGUAGAUAUUUGGACCUAAGAAUUGAUCCACUUGGUUGGCAAUGCCCACAGGGUCCUCAACUAAAUUCCCUAACUCCUUCUUGAAUCCUCUCACCUCAGAAGUGGUUGGAGGAGCGUUCUUCACAAAGCCAACUCCUCCCAUAGGAACUUCUUUGAGGGGAAAAAGUCUCUCUACCUUGGAGGUCCUGGAUCGGAUACUGCAGUAUGGCCCAUCCUCAGACACAAAAUUAUUCAUUUGAGGGGUAUUCUCUUGUCUUUUGUCCCACACCACGGCCAUCCUCCUUGCACAUCUAACUCUGGCCAGACUUCUAAACAGUAGUGAAUAAUCUUCACCUUAUCUAAUCCCCCUGUGGCCUCUCUAGAACCCCAUCUCUCUAACUGUUCACCUAAGGGACUCGGGGGGUAUAUUCCUCAGUCUCUGGCCUCUCUUCUUACUAUUACAUCCUCCCAUUUUUUUGGGCCUCAAAAAAAAAAAAAUCACAAAGUUGCCUCUACCUAAAGGAAAUAUACUGACAGUCAACUCAAAAAAAAAAAAAAAAUCCUAUUUGAGAAGUCCCAGCCUCCUCUGCCGAAACUCCAAUUUGCCUGAGCACUUUUCGUCAGGGCUUUGUUCACACCUUGGCCUCCCUUCACUGAGACGCAACAAAAAAAACAACCUUGAGACCCCGGCCUCUGAGGCUGAGUUUGCCAGACCUCCCUCCUUCGUCAGGACUUUGUUUGCCUGCAGGACUUUUGGACUUGCCCAAAUCCUUCUCGGGACUUGUGAUUUUGCCUGACUUCCUUCAUCAGGACUUAAAACAAAACCAUGGCCCAAUUUUUAGUUUGCCUGACUUCCCCCGUCAGGACUUACAUUAUCAGGACUUUUUAAAACUCAAGAUUGGCUUCCUCUGCCGAGCCUCAUGCCUGACCUCCGUCAUCAGGACUUAAAAACAAAACUGUCUGAUUUUCUAAUUUGCCUAACUUCCCUCGUUAGGAUUUGUAUCAGGGCUUUUGCGUGCCACUCACACACUAUUUCCUCUGCACGCCCAGAGGGGGCCCUCUUUACCCCUUUGGAAGUGCCUCAAUCACCAAUUCCACUUGUUUCCCCCUGUUCCCGGCCGGCCCCCUGGCGGGGGUGCAGAACCACGGUGCUAAGAGGUCCUCACUCACUUUGAGGAGCCAACCUGCUCGCCCUUGUCUCACUCACACACCACUCGCUCGCCCCCUCCUCUCACCACUGGAUACUCUCAUCAGUCCAGUGCUCCUCUGCAUCACUGGUCCCAAGCCGAUCUCCUCUGGUCCUGAUAGCCACCUGUCCUGCAGGUCCAGUGUGGGUGGCCAUCCCAGUUCUGGUGUCCUCUUCAGGCAUGGCUCUCCUGGAGACACCCCAGCUGAAAUGAAUAUGGCAGGAGAUCUUUCUCCUUUUUAAUGCCUUUAUUAAAAAGAUCGGCUUGAGUGGGAAGAAAUGACGGGUCGUGCCCAUGCCGCCGCUGCUGCCAGGAAUGGCACAGAGGAGGAGGAUGAUGAUGCAGCUGUGUCUGCUGGUAUGCUGGAAGACCUGGGUCUUCCGUCCUCCCGAGAGAUGAGAACAUUCCACCUUUUCAGUCUGACAUUCAAUAUCCUCUUUCUAGUCAACCUCCUUUUAAGUUAUGGUGAGAGGCAAAAAGAAUCUUAAUAGACACAAGAUUAAGUUCCUCACCUUUGGACAUCACUUAGAUCUCUUAAUUCCAUGAUGGCUCAUUGUUUUUAGGGUUUUUUUCAAGAUUUGGUGAGGGGCUUCCUCAUUUGCAUACUAGCUCUGACGUCGCCUCCCCACCGCUACCUACAGCCUUCAGGUGCCAAUCCUCUGGGAAGCUGCAGGGGGACAAUUGGGCUGAUUUCUAACCAUUAACAGGUAACUGAAGAAAAAUUAUUAACAACAGGUGAUUACAACAUGAACAGCAAUUGGUUUAACUUGUUAACUCUACAACUUUAAAAAAUGGACAACUUUUCUACACAUAACAUCUCAUUAGUAGAGAAGUGAUCCCUGAUAGCAAAUCAAACAAUAGUUGCAUCUGAUGAUUGGUUAUGCCUAAAUAUGAUUGAGUCCAACCUAUUGAACCAACCAAUUUCUGUACAUCAGUAACAGUUUUAACACCAAUGUCUAAUUUCACAGGUUGAGGCAUAAUUUGAGUCACCAACAUCCCUAGAUAUUUCCAAGGCAUGUAUUCCUGUACUUUCUCCGAGGCAAUGAUCAGACCAAAGGCUUUCAAAUUUGUCACAGCACAUUGUUUAAGAGCUGAUAACUGUUUGUUGUCAGAUGCCAACAAGAUAUCAUGCAUCUAAUGAUAACAAUAGCAGUUAUUAUAAUUGCUCCUGCACUUUUGACAAGGCCUGUGCCCACGUACCAUUGACAAAUAGUUAUAGAGUUUUUCAGGCCUUGGGGGAGUACCCUCCAUUGAUAUCUUUUGUUGGGUUCAGCAUGAUUUGUGGAAGGCACAGUAAAAGCAAAAAAAAUUUCUUUGUCUUGCACAGCCAGUGGAAUAGUAAAGAAACAAUCUUUUAAAUCAAUGACAACUGUCUGCCAUUCCUGUGGAAUCAUUGUAGGUGUAGGAAGGCCUGGUUGUAAAGCUCCCAUUGUUGCCAUUACAGCCUUUGUCUGCUGUAAAUCAUAUAAAAUUCUCCAUUUUCCUGAUUUCUUUUUUAUUACAAAACCACGGGUAUUCCAGGGGCUGAAUUAUUCUUCAGUAUGUCCUGCUUGCAAUUGUUCUGUGACUAAUUCUUGCAGGGAUGUAAGCUUUUUGGUAGUAAGGGGCCACUGGUCAACCCAGACAGGUUUAUCUGUCAACCAUGUUAAGGCUACAACUGGAUGUUCACCGCCCUGCAUCACAGUGGCCCCUAUUAAAAAUACGUAGUAAUUUUGACACCUCAUUGAGGUAAGCAAUCUCGUCCCCACAAUCUUUGAGGAGCAUCAGCAACGUGGGGUCUGAUGUUAACUUGUUGGUGACACGAUCCGUCCUAAGGACGUGAUUCGUGAAGAUUCUUUUUCUCUGAUCUCAAUGUUCAAAACCUGACACGACAAGGCGAUUUUGCAGUAAAAUCAAAACAGAUAUACUUUUAUUGAAUAGCCACAGCAAAGACGCGUUAGAGAGAAGGGGAAUGAAGAAAAGGGAAAGAAUAAGGAAAAGAAAAGAAGAGAGGAAAGGCAAGGAGGUGUAUAGCUACCAGACGUGUAGAUGACAAAGUCCCUCAAAGUCCGGUCGACGAAGAGCCUGUCGUCUUCAUGUCAGGGGAGAUCUCCAGGGUAUCAGUCAGUUCUAACCUCUUUUAUAGUCCUUUUGAAUGGGGGAAGGGGACACAUUUCAAAAUAGUCUAUUGAGAAAGGGUACAAAAAGUCUUAUCAGUAGUCCGUCAGCAGCAGGCGUCGUCAGCAGCAGGCGUCGUACAAAAAGUCCAUCAGCAGUAGGCAAGAACCAUUGUAUUCUUGGUCCAGUGGUCGCUUGCAAAACUUGCUUUGGUCCCCAUGCACGCCUUCCCUCACCCUACAGUAGGGAUUUCAGUCUCAAUCCUUUUGGGAAGAAGAGGGGGCUUUUCCAUGUAGGGGUCGCAUGUCUCAGUCCUUGAGGGGAGGACCCUCUCCCAUCUCAGUCCAUCUGUCACGGUGGUUGAUGUACAGUGAAUGGAGGGUCUUUUAGUGGUGACCACCAAGAAGGUCAUUCCAGAGAGAAAGUCCAGCCAAGUCAGAAGGGUGGAGAAAUUCCAGGACUAGCGUUGCUAGGUGAUGCAGGCGAAGGAGAGCACACUGCCCCUUCUUGGGUGCAGUGUUCCAUGAGUUGAGCAAACACACCCACAGACAAUAAUUUGGCUUGGUGGACCAGUCAGACCUGGAUUUUCAGAACAGGAUCUUUUCCUUUCCCCGGUGGUCUUGGCUUUCAUGACGGUCGAGAGGCAAAAAAUGAGGGAAGUUUCGGACAGACACUCACAGUUGGCCAUCAGGAUGUUUCACAUUAAUUACAAUGGCUGACAAGCCACCUGUUGUAGCACCACCCAACCCCAUAAGUCCAAAAUAUGCAUGAGUGAGAGGCCACAAUUGAGGCCAACAAAGUCGCGACAGUAUUGUAACAUCUGCUCCAGUGUCAAUCAAACCUGUUACUGAUAUGGUUCUUGGAUGAUAUCCACUGGCUGUGAGGAUGCAUGUCUUUUCCAGAUGGUUUUCUGUUACUUUCUCAGUCCAGAACACUUGAGGUACCCCUGUUGAUCCAAAACUUCCUGUGCCACGACUUUGGUCCACUGUAUUUGGAACAGAACCCACAAAAGGUACAAGUUGAGCAAUGCAAAUUCCUUUCUGAAUAGUGACAGGGGGGUCAUCAAUUGAUACCAUAGCAUGAAUCUGUCCUAUAUAAUCAGCAUCAAUAAAUCCUAAAUGCACAUGAAUACCUCUAAGUGUGGUACUUGAUCUCCCUAUCAAAAAUGCAUUCAAUCCUCAUCCUAUUAGACCGUAGGCAUUGAGGGGAACUUUGCAUAUUUCUUUUGUCAAAAUGGUUACUGUGUCAGCAGUGGGUAUAUCAGUCCCUGUGGACCCCUGAGUAUUGUUCACAAAUGGGUAGCUUUGCAGUACCAGGAAGGCCUGUAGUUGCUGCUGUGGUUGUCUGGGUAUUUGGGUUCCCACGUGCUUCUUUGUGCUCUUCCUCCCAUUUCCCUACAGUAGCUGAUCAUUUGCAUGAUAUUUACUCCUGCAUUGUUUAGCAUGGUGCCCAAAUUUGGCACAACAAUUGCACAUAGUAUUGCUGCUUGCAUUUGACUUAGAUGUUAUUUUCUGGGUAUUACACUGUGCCCUUACGUGCCCUUGCUGUCCACAGCUAUAGCAUUUUGAUGGAGGUCUUAGAACUGCAGCAAGAGCUGCCAUGUUAUGCUCUACUGAAUCAACUUUUGAGCAAGCAGUUACCAUUUCAGACAAUGUGGGCUCCCCAGAUGUUCAUCCCUUAAAAAGCCCAGCAGAGCCGCAUCAGAAGACUGCGCCAACCUAUGGAGUCUUCUCGCCUGUAUGCUUGGAAUAAGCACCACCAAUUUGAUGAUACCCAGACCACCAUCCUUAAAACUCGAAUACAAGAUGGCAUCACAUGUACUCAGUGGAAGAUGAAGCCAUUCCUUGACCGCCUUACGAAUCAACAGGUCAAGGGAUUCCAGAAGGCCCACGCUCACCUCGUAAUCAGGCCUUCAAAUACGAUGUUAUCUGUCUCCGCAUGCGGAGGGAAAUUCGCCAAGCUACCAAACUCUCCCGUUGUAUCCCAUUGUAUCUUAAAGUGAUCGUGGACAACCCCAGAUGGUAACUGGAACCACACAGUUUCCGUACUGUCCAGAAUAAUAGGCGCCAGAUGCCUUCUAUGCAACUCGUACAACACCUGAAAACUGAGAAAUUUCCCUCUUUUUACCGCCCUUUUACGCAUCCAAUUAGUUGCUGUUUUGGAUGCACUCUGACCACGAACCAUCUGCCUUUUUCAACCCCUGCUAGAUCUCAUAUUUUGGCCUGGCACACCCAGGCUAUUUCGAAACUCAUCAAAACCCUCAUUCACCAGCUUUGGCAGAUUUUGACCCUUCAAUGCCUUCUUGAAGACUUCAUGAUACCUGGCAAAUAUGCCAGGCAAUAAACCAGUUUUGAUGGCAUCACGGUAA